CACGUUUAGGGAGAUCACCGUCAUCAGUGUCACUGCCACCUGGAAGAUAACGAGAUGCACCACCAGCAGUAUUGGUAUCUUGAACCUCAUCUAACUCUUCCUCGGUGCUACUUCCAUUUUCACUUUCACUUCCAGGCUGGUGAACAAUGUAACACAAUGAAAGGGGAGAGGUAAAUGUUAGGCAGUGGAAGCAAGGAGAAUCUACAUUCCACAUAAGACAUUCAAAAACAAGAAUCACAUUAAAAA